AUUGAACGCUGGCGGCAUGCCUUACCCAUGCAAGUCGAACGGCAGCACGGGAGCAAUCCUGGUGGCGAGUGGCGAACGGGUGAGUAAUAUAUCGGAACGUGCCCAGUCGUGGGGGAUAACGCAGCGAAAGCUGUGCUAAUACCGCAUCCGAUCUACGGAUGAAAGCGGGGGAACGCAAGACCUCGCGCGAUGGGAGCGGCCGAUAUCGGAAUAAGUAGUUGGUGGGGUAAAAGCCCACCGAGGCGACGAUCUGUAGCUGGUCUGAGAGGACGACCAGCCACACUGGAACUGAGACACGGUCCAGACUCCUACGGGAGGCAGCAGUGGGGAAUUUUGGACAAUGGGCGCAAGCCUGAUCCAGCAAUGCCGCGUGCAGGAUGAAGGCCUUCGGGUUGUAAACUGCUUUUGUACGGAACGAAACGGCGAGCUCUAAUACAGUUUGCUAAUGACGGUACCGUAAGAAUAAGCACCGGCUAACUACGUGCCAGCCGCCGCCGUAA
rnacentral:rRNA from 1 species